rnacentral:rRNA from 1 species
AACGAACGCUGGCGGCGUGCCUAACACAUGCAAGUCGCACGAGAAAGCGGGCUUCGGCCCGCCGGUAAAGUGGCAGACGGGUGAGUAACACGUGGGUAACCUCCCCAGAGGUGGGGGAUAACCCUCCGAAAGGAGGGCUAAUACCGCAUGAUAUCUCGAGAGCUUCGGCUUUUGCGAUCAAAGCUAGCCUCUACUUGUAAGCUAGCGCCACUGGAGGGACCCGCGCCCCAUUAGCUAGUGGUGAGGUAACGGCUCACCAAGGCUCCGAUGGGUAGCCGGCCUGAGAGGGUGUCCGGCCACACUGGAACUGAGACACGGUCCAGACUCCUACGGGAGGCAGCAGUGAGGAAUCUUGCGCAAUGGGCGAAAGCCUGACGCAGCGACGCCGCGUGGA